rnacentral:rRNA from 1 species
GUGGGGAAUAUUGGACAAUGGGGGGAACCCUGAUCCAGCCAUGCCGCGUGUGUGAAGAAGGCCUUUUGGUUGUAAAGCACUUUAAGCGAGGAGGAGGUUACCGAGAUUAAUACUCUUGGAUAGUGGACGUUACUCGCAGAAUAAGCACCGGCUAACUCUGUGCCAGCAGCCGCGGUAAUACAGAGGGUGCAAGCGUUAAUCGGAUUUACUGGGCGUAAAGCGCGCGUAGGUGGUCAAUUAAGUCAAAUGUGAAAUCCCCGAGCUUAACUUGGGAAUUGCAUUCGAUACUGGUUGGCUAGAGUAUGGGAGAGGAUGGUAGAAUUCCAGGUGUAGCGGUGAAAUGCGUAGAGAUCUGGAGGAAUACCGAUGGCGAAGGCAGCCAUCUGGCCUAAUACUGACACUGAGGUGCGAAAGCAUGGGGAGCAAACAGGAUUAGAUACCCGGGUAGUCC